GUUAGACAGUAUAUGAGAACUGCAGCUUAUGAGAAAUGAAAAUGAAGAAUAUAAUAUUUGUUUCCAGAAAAUGAAAUGAAAUAUCAAUUUGUAGUUAAUGCUUGAGACUGUUUAGCUUUCUUAAUUUUAUGUAUGUGUCCCAUACAAAAAUUGGCAUGAAGCAAAAUGAGAGGCUCUGCCUUGGCAAUGAUGCCGUGAACAGAAGCAACAAUGACUAAUAGACAAACAAUAAUGAUUUUGGC
rnacentral:misc_RNA from 1 species